GGUUUUUGAUUGGAACUUGUCACCAACAAGCUUAGAGACCCAUACCGAGCUGUAGUUCGCGGGACUUGGUGAACCCAACUCUGUAGCUCGGAGCCAGGAGAAGAUCAAGAUUAGGACUGGGGGGUGUCAGAGAGUCGUAUUGUCUGCGUUAUCAGUAUCUUGUUAUUUUCCUUUUCUGUGAGUGUAAGACUUGUACUCUGUUUGUAUCUGUAUUUUUGCAAACUGUCGGAUUGUAUUUGUAUUCUGUAGUGCUGCUAAAGUCCGUACUUGUAGUAUUUCAGUUUCCAGUAUCCUAUUUGUGCU